rnacentral:rRNA from 1 species
CAGCCGUAAACUAUGCGCGUUAGGUGUACUGGUGACCACGAGUCACCGGGGUGCCGAAGGGAAACCGUGAAACGUGCCGCCUGGGAAGUACGGUCGCAAGGCUGAAACUUAAAGGAAUUGGCGGGGGGAGGCACCACAACGGGUGGAGCCUGCGGUUUAAUUGGACUCAACGCCGGAAAUCUCACCGGAUAGGACAGACAUAUGAUAGUCGGGCUGAAGACUCUACUUGAUAAUCUGAGAGGAGGUGCAUGG